rnacentral:misc_RNA from 1 species
CUUUAUUAAUUUCUUAUAUAUAAUUUAUAUUAAAUAUAAAAAUAUAUUUUUUAAAUAAAAAGACGAUAAGACCCUAUUAAAUUUUACUUAUAGUUUAACUGGGGAAGUUUUAAAAAUAAAAUUUUUUAUAAAAAUAAAAAUAAAUCUAAUAAAAUUAAAAUUAAAUUAAAUUACUAUAGGGAUAACAGCAUUAUAUUUUUUAAAAGUUCAUAUUAAAAAAAAUGAUUGUGACCUCGAUGUUGAAUUAUAUUUUCUUUAUUAAUGCAAUAAUUAUAAAAGUAGAUCUGUUCGAUCUUUAAAAUAUUACAUGAUUUGAGUUCAAACCGGUGUAAACCAGGUUGGUUUCUAUCUUUUUAUAAAUUCAUAUAUAUAUAUAUAUAUACAUAAAUUUUUCAAGUACGAAAGGAAAAAAAAAUUUUUAUUUUAAUUAAUUAGCAAUUAAUAUGCAUUAGAUUUAGAAUCUAAAUAAACUAUU